AAAGUUAUUUUCUUAAAUUAUACAAGACCUGAUACGUAAUUACACCAAUAACGAUAUGAUACUGAGAAGGGUACUAAGCAUUAAUGGUGCUUUUUUGUUUGAACAAAUCUUUUUUUUUUAUUUCACUAAACAUCAUCAUUUGAAUUUUUGUUCUACUAUUUUUUAUUAAUCCCAUAAAAAAAAAAGGUAUAUCUCCAUAUAAGGGAUAAUCUUACUGACUAGUGAGUUCCAUAGAGGUUCUAACAAGAACAUUUUGCAUCAACGGGUAGCUCAAAUGGUGAGGUACUUGGGUAUCUAUGGUGAUUGGCAUAGUCUUAUGUCUAGACCAAAAUACCUAGUAAAUAAAUGGACAUGUUAGUGGCUGUAUGGCAAUGGCACGAAGAUGCCUAACAUGUCCUUGGUCCCGUUGCUAUAGAGUCACUAACAUAUGUCCUAUCUGUUGUUGGUGACUUUACAGCUUUGAAAUUCUAAACUUAUAAUUGUGAAACAGUUUCAUGCGACAUUUACAUACUACUAACUUAUUGUAAGGUUUGUUUUGUGAAGUUCUCAUUUUUUAAUUCAAGUAAUGUAUAAUAUAUGAUUUUUUUUUAGAAUAAAAGUAUCAUAAAUAACAAUGUCAAGAUACAAUAGUUAAAUAGGGGAGAGGGAGUAUCCUCCCACUAAAUACAAUUUGUAUCCACUGAGAGAACAUGCUUAACUAAUUUAUGAGCAUUAGUAUUCACAGCCUUAUAAACAUGAGAGAUCUACACUCUUGAAAAAUUGGCUGCAAGAUUAUUAAUAUCAGUAAGAAUACAAUAAAACUUUGAGACUAAGUUUAAAGAAGAUUAUAAUCUUUUUGUUGCAAUAAGAGAAUCUGUUUCGAUAUAAUGAAUCGGUAGUUGCAAUUCAAUUAGUCAUAGAAGACUAUAAAAGAUAGCCAUAGCCUUGAGAAUUUCUAGUUUGAAGCUUCAGUGAAAAGGCUUUGAUAAGGCAGUCACUAUCUCAGUAUUUGAGUGACAAAGGAUAGGGCCAAAACUAGAAUUUUUUGUCAUCGUAUUCACUGCAGCAUUAUUGUUGAGUUUCAACUUUCCAGAUGGUGAAUUCAACCAUUUCGGGGAUACUGAAAUAGUUGUGGAAGAUGUUGGCCAAAUGUCUCCAUCAUCCCGCUCCUUUUUAGCAUUUUCAAACUUUUGUAAUAUAAUUUAAGGCAGAGAGCAGUAAAACACCAGCUGGUUUGAGACUUUGUUCAUGGAUCUCAUUAUUCCGUUCAUUCCAAAUGCUCUAAAUGAUGCAAUCAAUCUGUUCUAAUUCCUAUUGAGAGAAAACAUAUGAUAUGUGAAACAUUGAUGAUUUGUAAAAGUAAAAAUGAUCAAGAAAGACAAUAAUGUUGAAGCUUGAUAAUCCUCAAACUUGCUUUGCUCUUUUACAUUCAAAGAGCGUAUGGAAAGCUGUUUCAGAACGAUGGGAACAAAGGGAGCAACAACUUGAAGGGUUGAUGUACCAACCAUGGAGAACUGUAGCAACAGACAGCAAAUCAUGAAGAACAGGCCAUAUAAAGAUCUUAAGUUUUGAAGGGAGCUUCAAUGACCAAAAUUUAUUCCACCAACGUGAUUCUAAGGUAGAACUAGACUCAUUACCCAUGUUUGUGCUAAAUUAUAAAGAGAUGGAAUGAAAAUAUAAUUUUAGUCAUUGCAUUCAAUUAGGAACAAUGCUUGGUUUUCUAAAGCAUUGCCUUUUCUAUUGGAAUCUGGUUGGAAGAUUAUGAAUUGAAUGCAAUGACUAAAAUUAUAUUUUCAUUCCAUCUCUUUAUAAUUUAGCAUGUAGGUAUAUAAUUGACUUUUUCGAAAUGUAUUGUCAGUAAAUCCUUACUUGUAUUAUUAUAGAGCAUUGCUUUCUUGGUGUCUCACGAUUGGUUAGUGAUAUUUUUUAAAAGUUAUUUUCUUAAAUUAUAGAGAUUUUUACACCUCAUGUCAAAAUUGACAUCUUUUUUACAUUUUUGUCAAUACACGGUUUUUUAAACUUUUUUAACUUUUACAUUUUUUAAUUUUACUUUUCAAAAAGUUUCAUAAUUACAAAAUUACCUUCUCCCUUCCUUCCUUACACACGUACACGCACGCCACCUCAUAACUCCUUUUUUUUUUUUUUGAAUUUUUCAUUUCUCUGAUUCUUCCACUCUUCAAACCGUAGCUUCCCACGAUCACCAUUCUCAAGCCCUAACCCAUUUCUUCUUCCCACGAUCAUCUUCUCCAAGCCCUCACCCACGUUUUCCUCAACCUACAUUGUCAUCCUCCACUAUUUUUUUUUCUAUAUAAAUGGCAAUUAGAAGUGGUUCGAAAUCACCAUCUCCGGCGAAGAAACAUUCUAAAAAAUCGAAGAAGCCUCCAACUGUUACUUCCAAAGUCGAAGCUAAGAUGGGGUUAAAAAAAAAUUGCUAAAAAUUUAGUGGGUGAUGUUCCAGAGACAUCGGGCACUAAGAAAAGAGCCCUUCCAGUUAAGGCCGAUGCUCCUAAGCCUAAGAGAGCAAAAAUUUCCAAGUCUGCACGAGAUGUAAGUUUCUCUUUGUUGUUUUUAAAUUUUUCUUUAGUUUUUUUCUGGUUGUUCUAUUUGUGGUGUUACAUUUGAUGAUUUAAAGUUUUUCCCAUUUUUUGUUCUAGGUUUCCUCAGAUUCCGAUUUUGAGGAUGAAGUGCAUGCUGAGGACCAAAAGCCUAAAGUUAAAUCGAAGGUAAUUUUAAAUUGCUUGGUUUCAUUUUAUUGAGUUAAUUUUUACAUCAGCUUUUUAGGUCACUGAUUUAGGUGUUUAUUAGGAUAUUUUUUUUUUUGUUGUUCUUUAUGUAUUUCUGUCAUGUAUUGUGGUUGAUGUUGUUUUGUUGUUUUUAUUCAGUUGUUGUUUGGUUGUUUAAAAAUUACCCAGUUCAAUUCGUAUUGUGUUACAGUUUUGAAUUGCUUUUCCCCAUUGGUUGUUUAUAUGUUUAUUGUGAAUUUGUUUUCGGUUGUUUUACACACUAUUAGUAUUGAGAAGCAUUUUACUAAUUUCAUUUGCAACAAGAUCUUUCAAUGUUGUUUAUUCUUUAGUUUUUUAUAUGUUUAUUGUGAGUUUUUUCUCGGUUAUUUGUCACACUAUUAUUAUCGACUACCAUUUUCGAAAUUUCAUAACAACGAGCUUCUACAGUGUUGUUAAUAGUUUAGUUGUUUUAUCUGUUUAUUGUUAGUAUUUGUUUUUUUUUUGUAUAAGUUGUGACAGUGUUGUUACUGUAUUUUUUGAAAGUUGUUUAUCUCUUACAUUUAUCAUACUGUAAGGGUUUCAUAAACGUUGUUUUUAGGUUUUUUAUUGGUUGUAUUUUGGUUACUACAUUUUUAUAUCUUCCUUGUUCUUGUAUCUAAGAUUUGUUGCUUAUGUUUUACUUUGUAUUUCUUUUUUUUUGCAGGUCCAUGCUAGGACCUCAGAGAAGGUUGAAGGAUUUGACUUACCAAAGAAAAAUCCCCCUAAGGUGUCCUUUUUUUAAAAAAAAAAAAAAAUAUUUUUAUUAUUUGUUUUCUGUUUCUGUUUUAGUUUUUUUGUUUUGUCCUGAUUUAUUUUGUUUCAAUUGAUACAGGAAUGGGAUUAUAUUUAUGACCAGAAGAAUCUCUUCAUUGCGAAAGCCUUUUCGACUGCUACUUUCCAGGUGAUAGAGAACAUUAAGUCUUGUCUUUCAGAUGUACAGCUUGAAAUGUUUUUCAAAACCUGUUUUGGACAUUUCCUUAACCUUCCUGAUUUUAAAGUUCAACCGCAAGUGUUUCAUGGGUUGUUGCUCCGGGAGGUUCAACAACCUAAUGAUGCUGAGUUGUGGGUAAUGAUACGCGGUGUUAGGCUUAGGUUUAGCAUUGAGGAGUUUGCUUUGAUUACUGGGUUAGACUGUGAAGGUGACUGUAGUGUUUUAGAUUUUAAGCAAGACGUUAAUAGUUUUUGUGAAAAAUAUUGGCCAACUUCGUCCUUUAUCACUAAGGAAUCUGUUAGGGAAUGUUUUACCACCAAGAGGUGGGGUGAUUCUGAUGAGGAUGCUGUGAAGUUGGCAGUUUUGUAUUUUGUGGAAUGGUUCUUGCUUAGUGGCACUAAGCAUAAAAAUGUACCUAAGUCUAUUUUAGAUGUUGUAGAUAGUGGGAGGUACAAUGAAUUUGCUUGGGGCCGGAGUUCUUUUGAACUGACUAUUUCCUCAUUGAAGGGUAAGCUUGACAGUUGGGUUGAGGGUGUUAGGAAGGCAAGGAGUUCGGGAAAGAGGCCGAGUGUUUUUUACACUUUGAUUGGUUGUCCUCAUGUUCUUCAAAUUUGGUUCUAUGAGUGUUGUAAGUACAUGAAAGGUAAGUACUGUCAAAAGGAAAACUCUCGUAUUCCAAGGAUCACUCAGUGGACAUGCAAUAGUCAGCCUACUUUCAAAGUUUUGAAGACUACUAUUUUUGAUGUUUCCAAAGAUAAGCUGCAACUAUCAAAUAUGAGGCCCACGGCUGGUGAGUUCAAAGCUUUGAAACUGAGCAGUUUCAAGUUUGACACUGACUACAACUCUUACAAGAGUCUUCCUGUUCCCGAAGAGCCUUCUGUUGCUCAGAGUGACAUUUCUGUCAAGCUUGAUGCUUUUUCUGAGAAAUUUGAUGGGUUGGAGGUGAAGAUCGAUUUGUUGCAUACUUCCCAACAGAAGAUUUCAUCUGAUUUGGUUGAGUUGAAAGAGUUUGUGUCUGCACAGUUUGUUUCUUUUGGUGCUCAGAUGGCUUCAAUGCAGACACAGUUUUUUACUGUUUUUGCCGAUUCCUAUGCCAAGGACAAAGGCAGUGACUCUUCCAAUGAUGAUGGUGGAAGUGGUAAUGAAGAAGAUUUUGAUUUAGAUGAAUCUGAAGAAACUGAUGACAAUGAAGAAGAGAAUGUUAUGGGUGAUGAAGAAGGUGAGGGUAGUGAAGGUGAAGAGAAGGAUGGUCAAGCUGAUGAAGAUUCUGAGUCAAAAGAAAAAAAUGAUAAGGGCAGUGAUGAUGAAUGCACUGAUAGUGAGGAGAAGAAUUUCGUUGAUUUCAAUGACGGGCCUACUCAAAUAGAUGUUGAGGCUACUGUUCAGUCCGGUGUAAAAGCAGUUGAGAUUAUGGUAAUGUUGCUUUUGUGUUGUUUUUUGGUUGUGUAAAGGUUGUUAUUUUUUAACCAUGCUCUAAUUACUUUUUAAUACCAUAUAUAAACAGAUGUCUUCAGAUGGAAUUGGUGGUGAUUCUUGUAAACAGAUUUCAGUUUCUGAAAAUGUUGAGGUUACGGAUCGUCGUCUUGUUUGUUUUGAGGUAUAUUUUUUUUAUGGUUGUUUUUUAGUUUCUUCAUACUUUUUGUGUUUAACACUGUCUUUUUUCUUUCAUUUUUAUGGAAAAAAUAUAUUAGAUGGGUGCAACAGGUGUCAAUGUUGAUUCUAACAUUGAACUUGAAGAUGACCCAAUUCCCGUUGAAGAAACUACUCUUGUUGACAAGAGGAAAUCUAAGAAACCCAUAGCGCUGACGUCUCCGUUUAUGGAGUAUGACUCUUCCAUUUCUAGUUCUAAAGAAGGUUCUGGUUAUGGAGUUGUUAAGUAUGUGGCUGGGUUGUGUCCUCUCGAUGAUAAGAUUGGUGAAGAUGUAGAACAUAAAGACGAGAAUGAUUUUGACUUGUGGCUUGGUGAAGGACGGCGAUCGAAGAAAGAUCCGCAUGACAAGGACAAGGUUUACUUGAAGGGUAAGGAUAAGAUUGUUCCCCCUUUUCGUUUUGGCGUGGAAGAUGUUGCAACCAAGAUGUGGUUCCACAAGCUUGCAUAUCCUGGCCAAUGUUUAACUAAUUCUGUAAGUUAAUUUAUUUUUUCUUUUGAUUUUUUUCAAAAAUUUCAGUCUAUAGUUUUCUUCAUGUUGUUUGUUGGUUUUUUUUAGUUGUUAAAAUAUAAUUCAUUUUCUGAUUUUCGAACAUUUCUCAUUUUUUAUUGUUUAGCAUCUGGACAUCAUUUUUUACUAUCUACGUAAAAAAGGAAAGUAUGCAAAGGAGCCAAAGGUUAAGUUCACAACCACCGAUUGCUUAUUCUUCAAAACCAUUCAUGCUUUGUAUGAAAAAUUUAUUGCACAGAAAAAAAAUCUUUCUUUGAUAACUGCCCAGCAUGCCAUUGCUGAUUAUAUCAGAGGUAGAAAAGUGUUAAGUGGUUCCCCUUGACAUUUGUGCGAUCAUGUUUUGUUUAUCAUCCAUAUGGAGACUGAAUCACAUUGGAUUCUUGGUCGAUUGAAUAUUGAGGAAAGGCGUAUGUACAUGUACAACUCCUUGUCGACUGCUAUGAAAGAUAGUGCUGCUAUCAAAGCUUGUCAGCCAUUUGCGGUGUUGUUGCCCCACUUUUUUGCUUUGUUUGAUGAGUUCAAAAAGGAAAACAAACCGGUUUGUUUAGACCCUUUCGAAGUUGUUAAGGUUGAUGGUUUGCCUCAACAAACCUCGAAGUAAGUUGUUUUUAGUUUUUAUUUUCAAAUGUUUUUUUAAUUUUGUAUGUUAUUUUCCUUUUUUAAGUUUUUCUGCUGUUGUUUUUUGGUUGUUUUCCAGUGACAGUGGUUGUUUCGUUGCAUCGUUUGCCGAAUACUUCAUUGAUAUGAAACCGAUUCCUCCCAUAUUUGAUGUUGAGAAACACUGUGAUAGGCUUGCUGUGUUGUUCUAUAAGUAUGCUCGCAUGAAAGAAGUGGAUUUUAUUGAUAGUGAAGAUGAGGCUCCUCCAAAGGGUCCAAAGAAGAAUUUGUCUUAGUUAUCUAUUGGUUGUUGUUGGAAAUAGUAUUUUUUUUAUUUAGCUUUUGUUUUUUCUAUUACCAGAUUAUGUUCAUAAUCAUAGACAAGUUGUUGUUUCUAUAAUGUUUUUUUUUAUUGAAAUUGGUUUUUUAUUUGUUCAUAUUUUUGGAUUUUUAAUUUUUAUAUUUAGUUUAACUCAUGACAGCAUACUAUUAACAACCUUAUUACAACCAUCUUACAAACAACUAAAUUGCAUUUUAAUCACUUUAUGUAGUUUUUUUUCCUUCUUAUUAAUUUCAACCUUCUUCCACUCAUUUAAUUAUUUAACUAUAAUAUUUGAUGUUAUUUUGUAUAUUAAUGAUAAUAAUACCAAUUCUCUAUUAUCAAUAUCUCUCCACAUAAAAAUUCACAAUAAAAAAAUAUAUGUAACAACCAAUCGUAAUAUGCAGUAUGUUUUUCUAAAUGUUUUAAUAUAGUUGUUUUUUGGUUGAUGUGUAGUUGUUUCUACUUCUAUGCUGUAAUUCUUCUGCAGGUCUUUUUGUUAUGUCCCUUUUGUCCACACUUGUCACACUUGUUUUGUUUCUUUGUUUCCCAAGCUGCUGCCAUUCUUCUUUUCCUCGGCCUUCCAGACUUGAUUCUUUCCUUUGGAGGCAACACUAUGAUGUCUUCAAAAAAUUCUGGAAGUUCCCAUUCUCUUACGUUUCCAACUGGGUAUACUGUUUCUUCAUAUGUUUGCAGCCAUGCUUUUGAUGUGUAGUAUUGUGCACAGUAGUUGUAUGUGUUUAUGUUCAAGUCCUUCAUGACGGCGACUGCAUGGUUACAUGGCAUUUCAUCUUUUUGAAAUCUAUUGCAUGUGCACGUCUUCUCCUUCAAGUUUACUAUUCUUGUUCUGUCUUCAUCUAUCACCUCAAACAGGUUUUGGUUUGCUGGUUUCACCUGCAUGUUUUAAACCAACUUUAAAACAACCAAAAAACUAUGCAAAAACAACUGUUUUCAUUUUACUUUAUGCGAACGAUAAUCUCAACUUACUGUUAGUCGCAAUGACUGUACAUAGUUCCCUAUGAGUUUUUUCUCAGACGAUGGUGUCAGCCUUGUUGUGCAUUUUUGUGCCUCCUUUCUAUUAUUGUAUGUCCACUCUUGCAUUUGUGCCUUGAAGCACUCCAUUAAUGUUGUGACUGGUGUUUCCCUUGCUGCUAAAUUUGCUGAGUUCAGUGCCUCAGCUAUGUUUGAUAUCAUGGUAGAGUACCUAUAAUUUGGACAGUUUCUAUCAUAGUUCUACUUUUGAAAAAAAACUCAAGCGCAACGCAAAAACAACGCAAAUACAACGCUUUAAAUAUCUGAAUAUGUCAUUAAUUUUAUUCUUUUUAUUUGUUUUCACCUGUUGUUUUCUGAAUGAUACCUUGACCAUUUUUCAUGGCCAAUUUUUUCCAGGUACGGUCUUAUGCGCUUAUCCAAGUUGUCUAGCUCCCUCAUAUGGAAUUCAAACUCCAUUUGUGUGUAAGCUUUUGCAGCUGCAAAGAAUGGCACUCUGAAAUGCUUUGCAUUUUUUUUUUAAUUUUGUUUUGAGGUUCGACAAGAGGUGGAAGAUGCAGUAGUCAUGUGUUAUUUCAGGGAACACUUUCCUAGUUGCUUUGAUGAUGCUUUCAUGUCUGUCUGAUAUUAGGCAUUGAUAUUCUCAAACCCCGAAUGCUUCUUUUAUUUUUUUUAAGAACCACUCCCACGAUUUAUCGUUCUCAGAAUCAACUAUGCAGUAUGCUAGUGGAAAAAUUUUCGAUUCUGCAUCUUGUGUGUUGGCAGUGAGCAACGUGCCUCCAUACGCGGCCUUUAGGAAUGUACCGUCCACCACGAUGAUUGGUUUGCAGUUUGGCCAACCUUUUAUAGCAGCAUUCAAUGCAACAAAUGCAUAUUUGAAACUGUCAUCAUCCUCUUUCUCUAUGUCUAUUAAUGUUCCUGAAUUUUAAUCAAACAAGAUUUUGUCAAACAACAUGUACGCAACGAAAUAACAACGCAAAAACAACGUUUUUUUUCACAAAUAUUUUCAAAGUAAAAUUUUUUAAUUUUUUUUACCUGGAUUUGUUUUCUGUAACAUGUACAGGUAUCUUGGCAAGAGAUUGUACGACUCUUUAGCAUUUCCAUGUAGCUGGGUUUGUGCUCGCUCUUUACUACGACAUGCUUUCAUGUAAUUCAUCUUUAUUCCGUAUUUGUCUUUCAAUUCUGUCUUUAUGUCUGCCGGGCUGCACUUUGUUUUCAGGUUCAAGAAUUUUGGUUUUACAAAAUCUGCUAUCAACUUUGAUGCAGCUUGUCGUUGAUCUCCAAAUCUUAUUGUAACUGCACAUGUGUGUUCUUCUUCGUAGCUCCUUAUUAUGAAUGUUUCUGUGUUUCCAUUUUUUGUAGCCUUUAAACUCCAUUUGCAGUUUGUGUCCAAACACACUAUGUUGUAUUCUUUUGUGCAAGAUUUCACUACUUUGUAUUGAAAUGUCUUCUUGAUUGCAAAGUAGCAUAGUGUACUUAUCAAUGUUUCUUUGUCCUUGUAAAUUUGCCCCUUCUCUAUUGUUUCAUGUCGUUUGUCAGUGAUGAUAAUCAUUUCUGUGUUGUCCACUUCCUCUUCUCUUCCUGGUUGUUUUCGAGUUGCUGUACCAUUUCUGCAGCCACAAGCUUUGCAUAGUCGGUGAAGUCGAAAUCUUCAUCUACUGCUAUAGUUUUUUCUCUAUUGUUUUCUGGUUAUUGUAUGGUUGAUUCUGAUGACACUGUUCCUGUUUCUAGGAAAAAUGUAUCAACUUCACCAGAUCCCAUCGUCUGCGCAGAUAGUUGUUGCUUGGAAGUUGUUGCCGUGUUGUUUCCAGGUUGCUGCAAGUCUUCCUGUGCUGCGUUGUUGUCAUACGAUUCCAUGAUCAUAUUGUUCCACACCAUUGUUUGGUUAGGUGGUGCCGUGUAACUGGUUUUGUUCACACACAAUGGGUACCUUGUGAAAUCAACCUCCUUCGUUAAUAGCUUUAUGUAGAACAACAGACUUUUGUCAUCCUUGAUUUGUAGUGGUUGGCCUCCUUCCUUCAGUUGAUAUUUCAGUUGUAGUUGUGUUGAUUCAGGGUUGCAUUGGAGUUCUUCCAUCAUUAUUCUCAUUAGUUCCUCAAAAAUGCACUUGGUCGAAAUUAAUUCUCCACUUGAUUCAUAAUCAACAUAGUUUUUGUGGUCAUCCCAAUGCCCAUUGCUCUGCACCAAUAUUUGUAAUGGUUCCGUAUCCUGAAAUAAUGUAAAUUAUUUACUUGGUUCAGUUUUUGUAGUUGCAAACAACUAUUUUAAUCUGUCAAAACAACCAAUAAACAACUCUUUCCAGCAAUAACUUAUGCAUCUAACACUUUCAUCUGGCCGACUAUUUAUAUAGGUUAAAUCAACUAUCAAACAACUAUUUUAAAAGCAGUCAGUAAUUAAUAACAAUAGAUUCAUAUUUUCUAGUUUGUAGAUCCCAAACAACUAUUAUUCCACUGUAAAACAACUUGUAAACAACAGUUUUCAGAAUAAAAUACUGUAGCAACUAUUUAUAUGCGUUAAUGUUUAUUUUCAUGCAAACCGUUGUUGUUUUUUUCUCAGCUUCAUCAAUAUUUCAUUAUUAUUUCAAUUUAAUCUGGUUUUCAUCAAUUAAUAUCAAAUUUCUUUUAAUCUACACUAAAAGAUGUGUUUACGUUCAUGAAAAAAUUUGUUUACCUUCAAUUCUCCUUCUGAUUCAAUCAUGGGUGAGUUUCUUUGAUUUCCAGCUCUCCUUCUACUCGGUUCUUCUCCUCUAAUCGCGAUUUCUUUGUUCAAUGAUUGUUGUUUUUGAGUUUUUUUUGUACAUCAAUGGAGGUUUCCUGGUUUUUUUUUUCUUUUCCUUUCCGUUUUUGAUUUUGGAUUUUCGGGAUUCAACUUGUUUCCUAUGAGUUCUACAUUUUUUUAGAUUUUUAUUUUGCUGGUUUUGGAAGAAAGAUGGUUGAGAUUGGGUUGUUGAGGUUGGAUCGCUGGGUCACGAACAAGCUUGCGGCCGGGUCACGAAGAAGAUGGAGUUUCCGUUUUGCUUGGCCGGCAUUUUUGUAAUUAACAACUUUCUAGUUUCUAUUUUUUUUUAUUUCCUUUUUUAGGGUCAUAAAUGUAAAUUUAUUACAUUUUUAGUUUAUAAUAGAAAAAAUCUCUAAAUUAUACAAGACCUGAUACGUAAUUACACCAAUAACGAUAUGAUACUGAGGAGGGUACUAGGUAUUAAUGGUGCUUUUUUGUUUUAACAAUUCUUUUUUUUUUUUAUUUCGCUAAACAUCAUCAUUUGAAUUUUUGUUCUACUAUUUUUUAUUAAUCCCAUUAAAAAAAAAAGGUAUAUCUCCAUAUAAGGGAUAAUCUUACUAACUAGUGAGUUCGAUAGAGGUUCUAACAAGAACAUUUUGCAUCAACGGGUAGCUCAAAUGGUGAGGUACUUGGGUAUCUAUGGUGAUUAGCGUAGUCUUAUGUCUAGUACCAAAAUACCUAGUAAAUAAAAGGACAUGUUAGUGGUUGUAUGGCAAUGGCACCAAGAUGCCUAACAUGUCCUUGGUCCCAUUGCUAUAGAGCUACUAACAUAUGUCCUAUCUGUUGUUGGUGACUUUACAGUUUUGAAAUUCUAAACUUAUAAUUGUGAAACAGUUUCAUGUGACAUUUACAUACUACUAACUUAUUGUAAGGUUUGUUUUGUGAAGUUCUUGUUUUGUUUUUUAAUUCAAGUGAUGUAUAAUAUAUGAUUUUUUUUAGAAUAAAAGUAUCAUAAAUAACAAUGUCAAGAUACAAUAGUUAAAAAGGGGAGAGGGAGUAUCCUCCCACUAAAUACAAUUUGUAUCCACUGAGAGAACAUGCUUAACUAAUUUAUGAGAAUUAGUAUUCACAGCCUUAUAAACAUGAGAGAUCUGCACUCUUGAAAAAUUGGCUGCAAGAUUAUUAAUAUCAGUAAGAAUACAAUAAAACUUUGAGACUAAGUUUAAAGAAGAUUACAAUCUUUUUGUUGCAAUAAGAGAAUCUGUUUCGAUAUAAUGAAUCGGUAGUUGCAAUUCAAUUAGUCAUAGAAGACUAUAAAAGAUAGCCAUAGCCUUGAGAAUUUCUAGUUUGAAGCUUCAGUGAAAAGGCUUUGAUAAGGCAGCCACUAUCUCAGCAUUUGAGUGACAAAGGACAGGGCCAAAACUAGAAUUUUUUGUCAUCGUAUUCACUGCAGCAUUAUUGUUGAGUUUCAACUUUCCAGUUGGUGAAUUCAACCAUUUCGGGGAUACUGAAAUAGUUGUGGAAGAUGUUGGCCAAAUGUCUCCAUCAUCCCGCUCCUUUUUAGCAUUUUCAAACUUUUGUAAUAUAAUUUAAGGCAGAGAGCAGUAAAACACCAGCUGGUUUGAGACUUUGUUCUUGGAUCUCAUUAUUCCGUUCAUUCCAAAUGCUCUAAAUGAUGCAAUCAAUCUGUUCUAAUUCCUAUUGAGAGAAAACAUAUGAUAUGUGAAACAUUGAUGAUUUGUAGAAGUAAAAAUGAUCAAGAAAGACAAUAAUGUUGAAGCUUGAUAAUCCUCAAACUUGCUUUGCUCUUUUACAUUCAAAGAGCGUAUGGAAAGCUGUUUCAGAACGAUGGGAACAAAGGGAGCAACAACUUGAAGGGUUGAUGUACCAACCAUGGAGAACUGUAGCAACAGACAGCAAAUCAUGAAGAACAGGCCAUAUAAAGAUCUUGAGUUUUGAAUGGAGCUUCAAUGACCAAAAUUUAUUCCACCAACGUGAUUCUAAGGUAGAACUAGACUCAUUACCCAUGUUUGUGAUAAUUGUUGCAAGUUGAUAGCCCGAUUUAAUAUUAUAAAUCCCAUCAGAAGUGUGAUGCCAAAUUUACUUAUCUUGGUGAGGUGUGAAACUUAAUGGGAUAUCCAAGAUACGACUCACAUCAAAGGGUAGAAACAAACAUGGCAAAACAGACAUAUCCCAAUGACGAUCACUAGUUAUAAGACUAGAAACUCUCAAUGACCGAUCAACACCAAAGAAGGUCAAAGGUUUAAUUUUUAUUAUACCAAGAGGUCAGUCUUCGUAAAAUGUUAUUGUUUGUUCCAACAAUCCAUCUAAUACCUUUCGUAGACAUAUCACAAUUACGAUCACUAGUUAUAAUGUAUGAUGAUCAAAAAAGUUACAAACAAGUUUGUAGUUGUAGUUUGAAUCUCUUUUCAACAAUGUCAUACGAUGAUAAAUUUGUAUGUUUCAUCAACUCAAAUCGCAUAAAGUUACACAUAAAAAAACCGCUCAAUCCAUCAACUUGUUGGACAGUUAUGGGUUAGAGUUUUAAAAACUACAAAAACUAUCUAAAAAUUGCCUAAUCUGCCUGCCUUGCAGUGUCUCGCAUGGUGUUGUA